rnacentral:rRNA from 1 species
UACGAAGGGUGCAAGCGUUAUCCGGAAUGAUUGGGCGUAAAGCGUCCGCAGGUGGCAAUGUAAGUCUGCUGUCAAAGCGUCUGGCUCAACCAGAUAAAGGCAGUGGAAACUACAUAGCUAGAGUAAGGUAGGGGUAGAGGGAAUUCCUGGUGUAGCGGUGAAAUGCGUAGAGAUCAGGAAGAACACCGGUGGCGAAAGCGCUCUGCUGGACCUUAACUGACACUGAGGGACGAAAGCUAGGGGAGCGAAUGGG